rnacentral:rRNA from 1 species
UACGAAGGGGGCUAGCGUUGCUCGGAAUCACUGGGCGUAAAGCGCACGUAGGCGGAUUUCUAAGUCAGGGGUGAAAUCCUGGAGCUCAACUCCAGAACUGCCUUUGAUACUGGGAAUCUCGAGUCCGGGAGAGGUGAGUGGAACUGCGAGUGUAGAGGUGAAAUUCGUAGAUAUUCGCAAGAACACCAGUGGUGAAGGCGGCUCACUGGCCCGGUACUGACGCUGAGGUGCGAAAGCGUGGGGAGCAAACAGG